CCUACGGGUGGCAGCAGUCGAGGAUAAUGGACAAUGGGGGGAACCCUGAUCCUGCGACGCCGCGUGAGUGAAGAAGUAUUUCGGUAUGUAAAGCUCUAUCAGCAGGGGAGCAAAUGACAGUACCUGACCAAGAAGCCGCAGCUAACUACGUGCCAGCGGCCGCGGUAAUACGAAGGGAGCAAGCGUUAUCCGGAUUUACUGGGUGUCAAGGGUGCGUAGACGGUUAUGUAAGUCUGGAGUGAAAGCCCGGGGCCCAACCCCGGGACUGCUCUGGCAACUGUGUGACGGGAGGACAGGAGGGGCAGGCGGAAUUCUCGGUGUAGCGGUGAAAUGCGUAGAUAUCAGGAGGAACACCGGCGGCGAAGGCGGGCUGCUGGACUGAAACUGACGUUGAGGCUCGAAGGCGAGGGGAGCAAACGGGAUUAGAUACCCGAGUAGUC
rnacentral:rRNA from 1 species